AUACGAAAGGUGCAAGCGUUGUUCGGAUUUACUGGGCGUAAAGCGAGUGUAGGUUGUUUAUAAAGUCGGAUGUGAAAUCCCGGGGCUCAACCUCGGAGCUGCAUUCGAUACUGAUAGGCUAGAGUUUGGGAGGGGUAAGCGGAAUUCCGUGUGUAGCAGUGAAAUGCGUAGAUAUACGGAGGAACACCUGAGGCGAAGGCGGCUUACUGGACCAAUACUGACACUGAGACUCGAAAGCGUGGGUAGCAAACAGGAUUAGAAACCCUUGUAGUCC
rnacentral:rRNA from 1 species